AAUAGUUUCUAACCCUCCACCACAGCUCGCAUCACUACAUCACAUACCGCUCCGUGUGUUUUCGUGCGCUCCUGUCCUCUGAAGUCGGCGAUGGUUUCACAAGCGGCGGCGAUGGCCGUCUGGUAAUUUACUCACCGCGACGGCGAUCCAUCCGUAAUUUCGCCCACCCCCAGCCCUGCCCGGCUCUUCUUGAAUGCUCCACAGUAUCCCUGUUUUCCCGCCCGCGUCACAAUUCAGUUCCCCCUCCAGUUUCUGUCUUCCCCCUCUCUGCUCUUUCUCACCAUCCCCCUGCAAAAAGAGAAAGAAGGAAAGAAAGAAAGCUCCCUAUCCCCUCUCUCUCCCUCGAUGCCCUAACCCCUGUCUUCUCUCUCGGCCAUGCCGGAUCUCAGCAACCUCCUCCUCCCUCCCCCUUCCCCUCCCUUGUCCUCAGCCCCCUCCUCUUCUUCUGCUCUUCUUCCCGUCCCCCAGCCCUGCGAUCCGUCCUGCUCCUCCCGCCAAGAAACCCUAAAUGGGGACGCCCUGGACUGCCGGUGGAGCCGCCGUCUCAGGUUCCCCGUCUCCACGCGCGGGACGUGCUCGGUGCUGAAGAGGGAGCGGAAGGGGGGCAAGAAGGCCAGCGGCGGGAAGUUGCUUGCGGAGCACGUCAGGGUUUGGGUGGAGAAGAAGGUGGCGUCUGGGGUGCCCGAGAGGGAUUGCGUCUUGCCUUUCCUCACCCAUGCCCCGAAAUUGGUUGGUUGUCAGAUGUGCAAAAGAUGUAUCCACCCUGGUGGAGAAGUGCAGUGCUCAGUUAAAGGUUGUCGACAAGCUUUCCAUCGGACAUGUGCUAAGCAAAAAAUUGGAGUCCCUAACCAUAAACCUUUCAAGUGCUCUCAGCAUGCUUGUUUCAUUUGCAAGCAGAAAUUUUACUGGCGUUGCAUACGAUGUUCAAUAGCAUUACAUCCGAAGUGUGCUCCAUGGCCUGAAGAUAUCAUCUAUCUAACAGAUCGACCAGGGCCAUUGGUUUGUUGGAGGCAUCCUUCUGAUUGGCGACUUGAGAAGGAGCAUGCAGAUCCCACGAGUGAUGUAGAGGAAGUCUUUAGCCGUCUGCCACUUCCAUAUGUUGAUGAAGAGUUUAAGAUUGGUUCCAUUGUGAAAGAUGUUAUGGAGAACAAAACUGAGCCAUCUCCUUACAUACAUAUCAGGCGUAAUAUUUAUUUAGUCAAGAAGAAGCGUGAUGGUGCAGAAACUGGUGUUGGGUGCACAAUUUGCAAUCCUGAUUCCACAUGCAAGGAAAAUUGUGAAUGCAGGGGUCUCUCAGUCAGCUGUUCCAAGGCCUGCCAUUGCUCAGAUAUGUGCACAAACAGACCCUUCCGCAAAGAGAAAAAGAUAAAAAUUGUUAAGACAAAACAUUGUGGAUGGGGAGUAGUGGCAUUAGAGUCAAUGGAAAAGGGAGAUUUUGUCAUCGAAUAUAUUGGAGAAGUUAUUGAUGAUGCUUUGUGUGAGCAAAGGCUUUGGGACAUGAAACACCGAGGCGAUCGAAAUUUUUACAUGUGUGAGAUUCGUAAAGAUUUCACGAUUGAUGCAACUUUUAAAGGAAAUGCUUCUCGUUUUUUAAACCACAGUUGUGAUCCCAACUGCAAACUAGAGAAGUGGCAAGUUGAUGGGGAGACACGUGUUGGUGUGUUUGCUUCUUGUUCCAUAGAAGUUGGGGAGCCUCUGACAUAUGAUUACAGAUUCGUGCACUUUGGGCCCAUGGUCACGUGUCACUGUGGAGCUUUCAACUGCCAAGGUUAUCUGGGGAGUAAGAGAAAGACAAACCAGGUGGCCUCCAACUGGGGAUGCAAAAGGAAGAGAUCUGCUAUGCUAACCUCUUUCAUCAAGUAAAUAAACAUUUAUUUGAAGGUGCAAUUUUGUCAUUUAUUUAUUUAUUUAAUGCAAAGUGCAGGCAAUGGAAGGGAAACACUCUGUUUCCCAUUUUGUCUUGUAUUAUUAGGCAGAUACGACGGUCAUUAACAUUAGCUUCAUUUAAUAUGCUCAUUGCCACGUCUUCCCAGGUCCUGGCGGUGUUGUAUUUUGUUUUGGGAAGUGCAAAUUUCCUGUUGAAAUUUCAAUUCUUCAGUGUAUAGUUGUAUUCAAGCUGAUUUAUAUACCAUUCAGAGUGAGCUCACAAAGAGAAUAUGAUAUGAGCAUAUACCUGUAUUGAGGAUGUUUGGAAGUAAUUGUAAAGUGUAGAACAUCCAGUCUCAUAGAAAUUGAAUAUUUUUGUGAUUUUUA